GAGUUUGAUCCUGGCUCAGAUUGAACGCUGGCGGCAGGCCUAACACAUGCAAGUCGAGCGGUAGAGAGAAGCUUGCUUCUCUUGAGAGCGGCGGACGGGUGAGUAAUGCCUAGGAAUCUGCCUGGUAGUGGGGGAUAACGCUCGGAAACGGACGCUAAUACCGCAUACGUCCUACGGGAGAAAGCAGGGGACCUUCGGGCCUUGCGCUAUCAGAUGAGCCUAGGUCGGAUUAGCUAGUUGGUGAGGUAAUGGCUCACCAAGGCGACGAUCCGUAACUGGUCUGAGGGGAUGAUCAGUCACACUGGAACUGAGACACGGUCCAGACUCCUACGGGAGGCAGCAGUGGGGAAUAUUGGACAAUGGGCGAAAGCCUGAUCCAGCCAUGCCGCGUGUGUGAAGAAGGUCUUCGGAUUGUAAAGCACUUUAAGUUGGGAGGAAGGGCAGUAAAUUAAUACUUUGCUGUUUUGACGUUACCGACAGAAUAAGCACCGGCUAACUCUGUGCCAGCCGCCGACGG
rnacentral:rRNA from 1 species